GAUGAACGCUGGCGGCGUGCUUAACACAUGCAAGUCGAACGGAAAGGCUCCUGCUUGCAGAGGUACUCGAGUGGCGAACGGGUGAGUAACACGUGGGUGAUCUGCCCUGCACUUCGGGAUAAGCCUGGGAAACUGGGUCUAAUACCGGAUAGGACCACAUUUUGGAUGGUGUGGUGGAAAGUUUUUCGGUGUGGGAUGAGCUCGCGGCCUAUCAGCUUGUUGGUGGGGUAAUGGCCUACCAAGGCGUCGACGGGUAGCCGGCCUGAGAGGGUGUACGGCCACAUUGGGACUGAGAUACGGCCCAGACUCCUACGGGAGGCAGCAAUGGGGAAUAUUGCACAAUGGGCGCAAGCCUGAUGCAGCGACGCCGCGUGGGGGAUGACGGCCUUCGGGUUGUAAACUCCUUUCGCUAGGGACGAAGCGUUUUUGUGACGGUACCUGGAGAAGAAGCACCGGCUAACUACGUG
rnacentral:rRNA from 1 species